rnacentral:rRNA from 1 species
AGUGAACGCUGGCGGUAGGCCUAACACAUGCAAGUCGAACGGCAGCACAGUAAGCUCUUGCUCUUACGGGUGGCGAGUGGCGGACGGGUGAGGCAUACAUCGGAAUCUACUUUUUCGUGGGGGAUAACGUAGGGACACUUACGCUAAUACCGCAUACGACCUACGGGUGAAAGCAGUGGUUCUUCGCACCUUGCGCGAUUGAAUGAGCCGAUGUCGGAUUAGCUAGUUGGCGGGGUAAAGGCCCACCAAGGCGACGAUCCGUAGCUGGCCUGAGAGGAUGAUCAGCCACACUGGAACUGAGACACGGUCCAGACUCCUACGGGAGGCAGCAGUGGGGAAUAUUGGACAAUGGGCGCAAGCCUGAUCCAGCCAUACCGCGUGGGUGAAGAAGGCCUUCGGGUUGUAAAGCCCUUUUGUUGGGAAAGAAAAGCAGCAGGUUAAUACCCCGCUGUUCUGACGGUACCCAAAGAAUAAGCACCGGCUAACUUCGUG